rnacentral:rRNA from 1 species
AUUGAACGCUGGCGGCAGGCCUAACACAUGCAAGUCGAGCGGAUGAAGGGAGCUUGCUCCUGGAUUCAGCGGCGGACGGGUGAGUAAUGCCUAGGAAUCUGCCUGGUAGUGGGGGAUAACGUCCGGAAACGGGCGCUAAUACCGCAUACGUCCUGAGGGAGAAAGUGGGGGAUCUUCGGACCUCACGCUAUCAGAUGAGCCUAGGUCGGAUUAGCUAGUUGGUGGGGUAAAGGCCUACCAAGGCGACGAUCCGUAACUGGUCUGAGAGGAUGAUCAGUCACACUGGAACUGAGACACGGUCCAGACUCCUACGGGAGGCAGCAGUGGGGAAUAUUGGACAAUGGGCGAAAGCCUGAUCCAGCCAUGCCGCGUGUGUGAAGAAGGUCUUCGGAUUGUAAAGCACUUUAAGUUGGGAGGAAGGGCAGUAAGUUAAUACCUUGCUGAUUUGACGUUACCAACAGAAUAAGCGCCGGCUAACUUCGUG